GUUGCAAUUGUUAGGACAGAGGGAGUUUGAGCCGUUUGGAGCGCUGAUCGAAAGUAGCGCUAUUCUUUGUAAGAGCUUCAGGGAUGACCCAGUGCACCCUGGCAGACAGACUGUCGGAGAGAGAGAGAGGGAGGUCCGGCGAGCCGAGCACAGCCGAUACUGUUUGAUCUCCCCGGGACAGAGCAUGGAGAUGGGAUGGCUGGGCGUUUGAUUCCAGGGGUCCUUUGACAGCUCACCGGCUGGCAAAAGGCUGUCGGAUGUCUGCAGGCAGAUCAGAGGAGAUGGGGUGGAAAUCAGAAGUCCAGCUGGGAGAAGAUCAGAAGAGACACAAACUUCAGCGAGAGCCAUUGUGAGAUACACAGACAGUGGCUCUGAUAACUUUUCUGUUUCUUGUUUCUUUUCUUAUUUUUAUUUUUUCUUUCAGUACGUCCUUUUCAGAAUUUUGAACGGCUCAUUUAAAGGUCUGUGAGGUUUUGUCUGACUUUGACAAAAGUGGUGGGGUUUUUUUCCUCUUUUGGUUGCCUUUUGGGGUUUGGCUUAUUCUUCAUGGUGGUGAAUAACUAUUUGAUACGUACAGUAGACUCCACACAUUCACAUUGCACAUGUUUCAAGACAGAGAUUUUUAGAAAAAUAAGGAUUACCCCCUUUUUUUUCAUUUUUUGUCUAAAAUGACAUACCCAAAUCUAACUGCCUGUAGCUCAUGCCCUGAAGCAAGGAUAUGCAUAUUCUUGGUACCAUUUGAAAGGAAUCACUUUGAAAGUUAUGGAGAUGUGAAAGGAAUGUAGUAGAAUAUAACACAAUAGAUUUGGUAAAAGAU